rnacentral:rRNA from 1 species
GUCUACGGCCAUGCCACCCUGAAUAUGCCCUAUCUCAUCUGAUCUCGGAAGCUAAGCAGGGUUGAACCUGGUUAGUAUUUGGAAGGGAUACCACCUAGGAAUACCAGGUACUGUAGGUG